AGACAGACCCCCACAAAGUAUAAUUCCAAUUAAAUCUAAACAACCCUCUAAAUUAAUUCCAAUUAAACUCAACAAUCAGCCCGACCCUCCUCUCCCUGUUCCGCCUCUCUCUUCUCCUUCACCGAGUUUCUCUUCCCUCGAUCCACGGCCGUCCGGUGAGAGGUGUCUCAUCCUUCUCCUAUAUUCUACCUCUUUCUCCUCCACCUCCACCUGCUCAGAGAUCCCACUGCCGCGACGAAAACCAGGAUAACAGAGGCGAAACCCUCGCAGGUGGGUUUCAGAUUCCGAGAUUUGAGCUUCAGAAUUAGAGACGCUGAAGAUGUGGAGAUCUGCUUCUACUUAUCGCAACCUACACAGACACAGAGGAGGACUUCCGUCCACAAGAUAUGAGUAUGAAGAAUGGUAUGGUGAGGCACAUAGAGCACCAGAAUAUCAGCAAAUGUAUAUGCAAUUCAAGAAAGAAAAACCAACAGAGAUGUUACCAUCAGUAUCGCCGUAAUUAAGAACACUGUACGA